CGCGGGGUGGAGCAGCUUGGUAGCUCGUCGGGCUCAUAACCCGAAGGCCGUCGGUUCAAAUCCGGCCCCCGCAAC
rnacentral:tRNA from 1 species